AAGAGAGUGAAGGAGCUUCCUUCAGCCCAUUCAAGGGAUUAAAGGGUUGCUGGAGUAUCUGCUGACUCAUUCAUACACACACAGUACGUAGUGCUUUCAAAUUGCUAGUGUAAUUGUGUGAAUGAAGCAGGUGAUAUUUUGCACCCCUCUUUUCUCUGUGCUUGGACUGAAGGGGAGCUCCUUCUUUCUGUUGC
rfam:Glycine soja cultivar W05 scaffold6940_1, whole genome shotgun sequence.